UACCAGAAGAUGCAGAAAGAUGUGGAAGAGAUUUUUUCCCAGGGAGGAAGAAGACAGUAGUGUUUCUUUCAUGUUCAGUGAAAUUUGCAAUGGCUACUAAGUGACCCAGUUGUGUGGUCUUUAAAAGAUACAGCUAUAAAUGUAUUUCUUUCAGAAGAGCCUGAUCUGUGCUGUGUCUGCAAAUUUUGGAAAGGUAGAAAAAAAGAAGAGCUUCCCAGGCCAAGAAAUAAGUGGCAUGAACAAAUGUUCUGAAAUAUCAACGAUCUCUGUCUGCUUGGGAAAGGUGGAAAGAGUAAGAUAAUCAAGAAGCAGUAAGAUUCGCUUGCAAUUAAACAUUACGCUUAAGAGCCUAGUCGAGUACACAUUUUUCUACCGAUUUCCAAGGACAUCAUUAACUGUAGUAUCAGUACGAUAACUGAGAGAGAGAGAACUCCAUCAGAAAUCUCAUGGCCUGUUAGCAUAAGUUGCACAGGCUGUGUAUAGAAAAAUUUCUCUUCCUUGCUACUUAUAAAACCUGGGUUUUGUCAGCUGUUAAAAGGGUCUGAAGAUGAUAAGAAGAUUCCUCUGGUCCUUGUGUGUACCAUCAUCAUGAAUUAAUAGAUGAAAUACAGUCUGUGCUCACACAUGGAAAAACACCACUACUUGUAUUCUCUAUAGGUUUUCCACUCACAGGUUCCAGGAUCAGACAGGAAAUCUGGAAUCAUUAGAAAUAUUAAAAAUGACAGCAAAAAAAAAAAAAGGCAGAAAAGCAGAACAUACUCGUGUCCAUAUGACAACAAAAUGUUCAGGAGACCAAGUUUCAGGACCAUGGUGGCCUGCUCCAGAGAAUGACA